GCGGGUUACAGUCAGAGGACAUCAGGCUGGAUGAGUAUCCCGCGUCCGGACACUGUGCCAGAGGAGGCAGCCCAUCGCCCUCCAAACACCCACCUGCCCCUUCCAGACUUAGCCCUCUGCUGCCUCCACACUGGGGCCAUCGACAGCCAGCGGGGAGCUCCAACAGCAACAGCUAGAUGAAAGCUUUUGUGCUUUUUCUCUAAUCACACCUCCCCCUUCAUCUCAACUACACAGAGGCUAGAAGGAAAAGGUGAAAGAAAUGAAAAAGCCAACCGCUCCGCCCUCCUCUCCCUAGACACUCAGUGCCCGGAUGCUGUUGGGGAAGGGGAGGGACUGGCAGGAGCCCUAAGUCUGAGAAUGUACUGUACCACAUUUUAAUCUGGACCGGACUGCAUUUGUGGAUACCUGACCAUGACUGAGAAGCUAAGGGAUCCAUUAUGAAGAAAAGGAAACAAAGAUUCAACAAAGCAGAUUAGAAGGUCAUAUUUGGAGAAAAAGUAAACCACUUCAUGUGUGUUCCUCACCAAAGUCAUGCCACUUAAUCAGCCAGCUACACUUACAAACACUGUGAACUCGCUGCUUUCGGGAGUGGACAUACUCAGUUCCACUUACCUCAAAAAGUGGGAAGAAAUUCAGAGAAUCGCCUUCUCACCAGAGCCCAGACAUGCACAGUCGAUUUUGUGUGGAGGUGGGAUCAGCAGCCAGUAAUGAAGUGUGAGGAGAGCGGGAAGUGCAUUGUGCUGAAACGACCUGCCCCACCGACGCUGGCUUCUGUGCCUGUGAUUCCCACAGUGCCUGGCACAUGCUCGAUGGUUAGAAUCUGGAAAAAGGAACCAUUCUGAACUACAAAGAGUUUCUAUCUAUAAAGAGUUUUUUAGAUGUGCGUUCACCUUUUUAAAGACUGACCUUUGUUUGGGGAACAUCUGUAAGUGGCCCUUUAAUUGUGUGGAUCUGAAAGUAGGCACUCUCUUAUUGUUCCUAGUACUUAGAGGUGACCAUUGACCUGAAGGCAGUGUUUAACAUCGAGACGAUAGCUUGUUUGAAGAAUUGAAACAUUGCUAGAAUUAAUUGAGCUGAAGCCAUUUAAUAAUCUUUUGCCUUUUGGUGGGUGGGGGCGCUAAGGGAAGGGUGCCAGGAAUGUCUCUAGCUCUGUGUAACUACAGAAGGCGUUGUGCAUAUUGCUGCUUGUGCUCUGGAAAUUGUGGAAAAUCUGGAUUGGAGCCCUAGCAGAAGAUAGAAAGGAACUGUUUCUUACCAGAACAUUCUUCCUA
rnacentral:lncRNA from 1 species